UAGUCCACGCCGUAAACGAUGAGAACUAGAUGUCGGGAGGAUUUACCUCUCGGUGUCGCAGCUAACGCGUUAAGUUCUCCGCCUGGGGAGUACGGUGGCAACACUAAAACUCAAAGGAAUUGACGGGGACCCGCACAAGCGGUGGAGCAUGUGGUUUAAUUCGAUGCAACGCGAAGAACCUUACCUGGUCUUGACAUCCUCGGAACUUUCCAGAAAUGGAUUGGUGCCUUCGGGAAUCGAGUGACAGGUGCUGCAUGGCUGUCGUCAGCUCGUGUCGUGAGAUGCUGGGUUAAGUCCCGCAACGAGCGCAACCCUUGUCUUUAGUUGCCAUCAUUAAGUUGGGCACUUUAAAGAGACUGCCGGUGACAAACCGGAGGAAGGUAAGGAUGACGUCAAGUCAGCAUGCCCCUUAUGCUCUGGGCUACACACGUGCUACAAUGGCCGUGACAAAGAGUUGCUACUUUGUGAAAACAAGCUAAUCUCAUAAACGCGGCCUCAGUUCGGAUUG
rnacentral:rRNA from 1 species